rnacentral:lncRNA from 1 species
AAAACUCCCUUUAAUCGGACAUAUGAUAUUAUGAGUAAAAGUAGGGGUGGAAAAAAAAAACUGAAAAUUCCAAAUAAAAAAUCCUGAAAAUUUUGGUACCCUUUACCGAAUCGAUCCCGAAAAUUCGAUAUGGGAAUCGGUCUCAGAUUUGUAUUUGUUCGGUAAUCCCAAACCGAACCGAAAAAAAUAUUAUUUAAUUUUAAAUAUAUAUUUGGAAUUGUAAUAGCCGUCUGAUUUGGUUGAGAUUUAAUCUCAACAGUUGAAUCCAAAUAAACCCUAACUAAGACUCAGAGACUUAAUCACUCUCUCUCUUAGUCUCUCUCGAUCUCACACAUUACCUCAGUGACCUCACCAGCUCACCCUUCUCUUUGCCGAUAAGGACUUCAAAGUAUGUAAUUUUCUAAUUGAUUAUUUGAGUAUUAUUGGAAAUUUUGGAUUAUUUGAGUAUUAUUGGAAAAUUUGGAUUCUCGUUUGUCAGUGUCUAGACAAGAACCUAGGGAAUUUGCGGUAGAGAAUGGUUUAUGUGGGAUGUAGAUUAAAUAGGAACCAAGAUGAAUUGCAGAAUAAUUCAAGCUUUGAAAUUCUGCAUGCAUUCUAUCAACAUUUUAGAAAAUUCAAAAUAGUAUAAAAAUCAGCAUGAAUCAAGUUAUUUCAAUUCUUCAUUAUGUUCCCAAAAUAAAAAUUUAUAAAAUUAGGAUGUUUUAGACUUUUAGUGAUUGAUCAGACUUCUUUAAUUUGGGGUUUUGCCGAAAUUCAAUGUAAGUCUCGAGUCUCUAUCAUGUAUAUAGGUUGUUUUAGUGACUGAAGAGAUUAGGGUGGUGUUCAAUUUUGAAUGCGAGUCUUAAAUCGGCAUGAAACAAGUUAAUUUCAAUGUCAAUAUUAUAUUCCUAAAGCCGACUUGUAUAGUUUAGGAUUUUGUUCAAAUUGUAGAGCAGGUCCUUAAGUUCCAGGUGUGAAAGCUAUAUUUUUGGUCAUUGGGGGGAAAUGAAUCUUUGAAGAUGUAGCAGGGCAGGGUAUGGUGAAAGGAGCUUUGGGAGCUGUAAUAAUCUAAUUUCUAUGAGUUGAUCUUGUAGCUGUUAUUUAUCCUACUGGAUUUUUAAGGCAUUUUAUGCCUCAUGUUAUCGGUCUCUAGUCUUAAUUUAGAUGCCAUUUCUGUCUUCUAUGAGUUUUUAUCUUCUAGUAUUAUUGGAUUUUCCCUUCAAGUUAUUCCUAGUAAGAAACAACUCUACUAUCCAAAUUGUUCCUUUGUUUUUCUCUUGUUGUAUAGUGAAGUUUCUGUCCAAUAAACUCAGUCUAUCUAGAGUUUGUUCCACCGGUAUAGUAUAGAGUCUAGCGAACAAGCUUUCUAAUUGAUUAUUUCGAGAUUCCCGAUUGUCCUGAAAUCCUGAAACUAUUUUAGGAUUCCCGAAAAUUGGGAUUCUCGAAAAUUUGGUUUGGGAUCGGUCUUGAA